AACGAACGCUGGCGGCAUGCCUAACACAUGCAAGUCGAACGAAGCCUUCGGGCUUAGUGGCGCACGGGUGCGUAGCGCGUGGGAAUCUGCCCUUGGGUUCGGAAUAACAGUUAGAAAUGACUGCUAAUACCGGAUGAUGUCUUCGGACCAAAGAUUUAUCGCCCAAGGAUGAGCCCGCGUAGGAUUAGGUAGUUGGUGGGGUAAUGGCCCACCAAGCCGACGAUCCUUAGCUGGUCUGAGAGGAUGAUCAGCCACACUGGGACUGAGACACGGCCCAGACUCCUACGGGAGGCAGCAGUGGGGAAUAUUGGACAAUGGGCGAAAGCCUGAUCCAGCAAUGCCGCGUGAGUGAUGAAGGCCUUAGGGUUGUAAAGCUCUUUUACCAGGGAUGAUAAUGACAGUACCUGGAGAAUAAGCUCCGGCUAACUCCGUGCCAGCCGCCGCGGUAAAAC
rnacentral:rRNA from 1 species